rnacentral:rRNA from 1 species
UACGUAGGGUGCAAGCGUUGUCCGGAAUUAUUGGGCGUAAAGAGCUCGUAGGCGGUCUGUCGAGUCGGAUGUGAAAAUCCAGGGCUCAACCCUGGACCUGCAUUCGAUACGGGCAGACUAGAGUUCGGCAGGGGAGACUGGAAUUCCUGGUGUAGCGGUGAAAUGCGCAGAUAUCAGGAGGAACACCGGUGGCGAAGGCGGGUCUCUGGGCCGAUACUGACGCUGAGGAGCGAAAGCGUGGGGAGCGAACAGG